rnacentral:rRNA from 1 species
UACGUAGGUGGCAAGCGUUGUCCGGAUUUACUGGGCGUAAAGGGCGUGCAGGCGGUCUGUUAAGUGCAGGGUGAAAGCUCCCGGCUCAACUGGGAGAGGUCCUUGCAUACUGGCGGACUUGAGGGGGGUAGAGGAAAGUGGAAUUCCCGGUGUAGUGGUGAUAUGCGUAGAUAUCGGGAGGAACACCUGUGGCGGAGGCGGCUUUCUGGGCCCUACCUGACGCUGAGACGCGAAAGCGUGGGGAGCGAACCGG